GUGGGGAAUAUUGGACAAUGGGCGAAAGCCUGAUCCAGCCAUGCCGCGUGUGUGAAGAAGGUCUUCGGAUUGUAAAGCACAUUAAGUUGGGAGGAAGGGCAGUAAGUUAAUACCUUGCUGUUUUGACGUUACCGACAGAAUAAGCACCGGCUAACUUCGUGCCAGCAGCCGCGGUAAUACGAAGGGUGCAAGCGUUAAUCGGAAUUACUGGGCGUAAAGCGCGCGUAGGUGGUUUUGUAAGUUGGAGGUGAAAUCCCCGGGCUCAACCUGGGAACUGCCUACAAAACUGCAUGACUAGAGUACGGUAGAGGGUAGUGGAAUUUCCUGUGUAGCGGUGAAAUGCGUAGAUAUAGGAAGGAACACCAGUGGCGAAGGCGACUACCUGGACUGAUACUGACACUGAGGUGCGAAAGCGUGGGGAGCAAACAGGAUUAGAUACCCGAGUAGUCC
rnacentral:rRNA from 1 species